AUUUCAUCUGUAUUAAGCAGCGCUGCGUUACCCGAGGCUAUACAGUGCGCUCUGCACGAUCAAAGCAGAAAUGCAGCGGCUUCUGACGAGGAGUUAUCGUGGCUGAGGGGAACAAAAUAUCAAGGAAGGAGAAAAAAAAAAAGAUACAGAGCUACAAAAUACCAGGUCAUGGCACCAAAGUAAACACCCACAGGAUUGGGGUUUGUUUCCUGACAAGCUCUGAGGGAAUCCCAAAAGAUUCAGUGAUCCAGCUCAGCGUGGAUUAGCUUCCAACUCCUUGCUGUUGCUACUGAGCUACAGAUCCUGCGGAGCAGAUUUUGCUUUGGGAGCUCCCAGACUUCCUGGAAUCUGAGUUCCAUCAGAAAUACAGUGAACACCACAAAACAGCCAGGGUUUCUGGUGGAACUAGAGAGCUUGUCUAGCUGGCUGGGGAUUCACAGGGAUUUUAUGGACAUCCUGUGUGAGCUGGAGCCUGCCCGUAGGAUAUGCAUCACUCUCUAUCACAGCUGGUGUUUUGAACCAAAAGUGUGGAGUAGAAAUUUCAUCCCUGAUUUUUUUUGGCUGGAUUGAUUGUUUAGUCUAGGAACUCUCAAGGAGACUUUCUAGGUGCUGGAAUUCCUCU
rnacentral:lncRNA from 1 species